UACGAAGGGGGCUAGCGUUGCUCGGAAUCACUGGGCGUAAAGGGCGCGUAGGCGGCGUUUUAAGUCGGGGGUGAAAGCCUGUGGCUCAACCACAGAAUUGCCUUCGAUACUGUUUGGCUUGAGUCUGGUAGAGGUUGGUGGAACUGCGAGUGUAGAGGUGAAAUUCGUAGAUAUUCGCAAGAACACCAGUGGCGAAGGCGGCUCACUGGCCCGGUACUGACGCUGAGGUGCGAAAGCGUGGGGAGUAAACAGG
rnacentral:rRNA from 1 species